rnacentral:rRNA from 1 species
AGAGUUUGAUCCUGGCUCAGGAUGAACGCUGGCGGCGUGCCUAACACAUGCAAGUCGAACGAUUAAACCGCCCUCGGGCGGACAUAGAGUGGCGAACGGGUGAGUAACACGUGACCAACCUGCCCCGCGCUCCGGGACAACCGCUGGAAACGGCGGCUAAUACCGGAUACUCCGGGAGGGCCCCAUGGCCCUGCCGGGAAAGCCGAGACGGCGCGGGAUGGGGUCGCGGCCCAUUAGGUAGACGGCGGGGUAACGGCCCACCGUGCCCGCGAUGGGUAGCCGGACUGAGAGGUCGACCGGCCACAUUGGGACUGAGAUACGGCCCAGACUCCUACGGGAGGCAGCAGUGGGGAAUUUUGCGCAAUGGGGGAAACCCUGACGCAGCAACGCCGCGUGCGGGACGAAGGCCCUCGGGUUGUAAACCGCUUUCAGCAGGGAAGAUCCAAGACGGUACCUGCAGAAGAAGCUCCGGCUAACUACGUGCCAGCAGCCGCGGUAAUACGUAGGGGGCGAGCGUUAUCCGGAUUCAUUGGGCGUAAAGCGCGCGUAGGCGGCCGCCUAAGCGGGACCUCUAACCCCGGGGCUCAACCCCGGGCCGGGUCCCGGACUGGGCGGCUCGAGUGCGGUAGAGGAGAGCGGAAUUCCCGGUGUAGCGGUGGAAUGCGCAGAUAUCGGGAAGAACACCGAUGGCGAAGGCAGCUCUCUGGGCCGUCACUGACGCUGAGGCGCGAAAGCUGGGGGAGCGAACAGGAUUAGAUACCCUGGUAGUCCCAGCCGUAAACGAUGGGCGGUAGGUGUGGGGGGACGAUCCCUCCGUGCCGCAGCCAACGCAUUAAGCGCCCCGCCUGGGGAGUACGGCCGCAAGGCUAAAACUCAAAGGAAUUGACGGGGGCCCGCACAAGCAGCGGAGCAUGUGGCUUAAUUUGAAGCAACGCGAAGAACCUUACCAGGGCUUGACAUGCCGAUGAAGCCGGGGAGACCCGGUGGCCGAGAGGAGUCGGCGCAGGUGGUGCAUGGCUGUCGUCAGCUCGUGUCGUGAGAUGUUGGGUUAAGUCCCGCAACGAGCGCAACCCCCGCCCCGUGUUGCCAGCAUUCAGUUGGGGACUCGCGGGGGACUGCCGGCGUCAAGCCGGAGGAAGGUGGGGACGACGUCAAGUCAUCAUGCCCCUUAUGCCCUGGGCUGCACACGUGCUACAAUGGCCGGUACAGAGGGUUGCCACCCCGCGAGGGGGAGCGGAUCCCGGAAAGCCGGUCCCAGUUCGGAUCGCAGGCUGCAACCCGCCUGCGUGAAGCCGGAGUUGCUAGUAAUCGCGGAUCAGCACGCCGCGGUGAAUACGUUCCCGGGCCUUGUACACACCGCCCGUCA